rnacentral:rRNA from 1 species
UGCGGGGGGGGUAAGCGUUGUUCGGAAUUACUGGGCGUAAAGGGCUCGUAGGCGGCCAACUAAGUCAGACGUGAAAUCCCUCAGCUUAACUGGGGAACUGCGUCUGAUACUGGAUGGCUUGGAUUCGGGAGAGGAAUGCGGAAUUCCAGGUGUAGCGGUGAAAUGCGUAGAUAUCAAGAGGAACACCGGUGGCGAAGGCGGCUCUCUGGUCCAUGUCUGACGCUGAGGUGCGAAAGCCAGGGGAGCAAACGGG